rnacentral:ncRNA from 1 species
GUAAAGACUGUGAAGAGGACGAGUACAUCUCGUAUAAACGGCACAGAGAGCAGGAGAAGGUGAGAACCUGUCCGAAUGACGAUUUGGAAUGGACCUCGGAGUUGUAGGGUGAACGUCAAUAAAGACUACUAACCCGUGCCGGAGUUGCCACCGUUAUCAAGGUAAAGGAUAUAAUAAGUCAACCAGUUCCGGUUGCCGUAUCCGAAAAGAGUGAGGCUGGCUUUUCCACCAAUGAGUGCAUCAUCGGUGGAAUUUUUUGUUAAGCGGCCUAAUCAGAGUGGUACCACGGACUUAAAGGCGUUCGUCUCUGCG